rnacentral:rRNA from 1 species
UACAGAGGUCUCCAGCGUUGUUCGGAUUCAUUGGGCGUAAAGGGUGCGUAGGCGGCGCGGUAAGUCGGGUGUGAAAUUUCGAGGCUUAACUUCGAAACUGCAUUCGAUACUGCCGUGCUAGAGGACUGGAGAGGAGACUGGAAUUUACGGUGUAGCGGUGAAAUGCGUAGAUAUCGUAAGGAAGACCAGUGGCGAAGGCGGGUCUCUGGACAGUUCUUGACGCUGAGGCGCGAAAGCUAGGGGAGCAAACGGG